rnacentral:tRNA from 1 species
UCAGUUGGUAGAGCAACUCGUUUACACGCGCGCCAAUGACGGUUCGAAUCCGUAUAGCCCUAAUAUUCCUACA